AUACGUAGGGGGCUAGCGUUAUCCGGAAUUACUGGGCGUAAAGGGUGCGUAGGUGGUUUCUUAAGUCAGAAGUGAAAGGCUACGGCUCAACCGUAGUAAGCUUUUGAAACUAAGAGACUUGAGUGCAGGAGAGGAGAGUAGAAUUCCUAGUGUUGCGGUGAAAUGCGUAGAUAUUAGGAGGAAUACCAGUUGCGAAGGCGGCUCUCUGGACUGUAACUGACACUGAGGCACGAAAGCGGGGGGAGCAAACAGGAUUAGAUACCCUGGUAGUCCACGCCGUAAACGAUGAGUACUAGCUGUCGGGGGUUACCCCCCUCGGUGGCGCAGCUAACGCAUUAAGUACUCCGCCUGGGAAGUACGCUCGCAAGAGUGAAACUCAAAUGAAUUGACGGGG
rnacentral:rRNA from 1 species